rnacentral:rRNA from 1 species
GAUGAACGCUGGCGGCGUGCCUAAUACAUGCAAGUCGAGCGAACAGACGAUGAGCUUGCUCCUUUGACGUUAGCGGCGGACGGGUGUGUAACACGUGUAUACCCUCCUUAUAUUACUGGUAUAACUUCGGGAAACCGGCGCUUAUACCGGAUAAUCUACUGAUGCGCAUGGGUCAUUGGUAAAAUACGGUUUUUCGGGCUCGUAUAGAUGCUUCUGCGCCGCUUUAGCUAGUAGGGAAGGUCACGGCUUACCAAGGCUACGAGGCGUAGACGACCUGCGAGGGUGAUAGGCGACACUGGAACUGGGACAGGGUCAAGACGCCUACGAGAGGCAGCAGUAGGGAAUCUGCCGCAAUGGGCGAAAACCUGACGGAGCGACGGCGAGUGAGUGAUGACGGUCUUCGGAUCGUAAAAAUCUGUUAUUAGGGAAGAACAAAUGUGUACGUAACUAUGCACGUCUUGACGGUACCUAGUCAGAAAGCAACGGCUAACUACGUG